rnacentral:misc_RNA from 1 species
UCCAGACUCCCUCAAUCUGCGGACAACGUGUCGAGGUACAACAGUUAGGCGACGGCGACUUCGUAAUUGCCGGCCUUUCCGCACCGACAAGAACAUACCAACUGUGCCAAAGGCCAACAACGCCAAUGUCGAUGGCUCCGGAACUGUUGAAAAACCAACUACCGCCAGACCGCCAUUAUUAACUGUACCGACUCCGAUGCCAUCAGCAAUGAAGCCGCCAACUGAAAUAGCAUGCGUCGUUGAAUCGAAACUAACGGGUGGGUUAA